GUCUAUGGCCAUACCACCCUGAACACACCCUAAUCUCAUCUGAUCUCAGAAGCUAAGCAGGGUCAGACCUGGUUAGUACUUGGAUGGCGAAUACU
rnacentral:rRNA from 1 species